UAGGGAAUCUUCGGCAAUGGACGAAAGUCUGACCGAGCAACGCCGCGUGAGUGAAGAAGGUUUUCGGAUCGUAAAACUCUGUUGUUAGAGGAGAACAAGGACGUAGUAAAUGAACGUCCCCUGACGGUAUCUAAACAGAAAACCACGGCUAACUACGUUCCAGCAGCCGCGGUAAUACGUAGGUGGCAAGCGUUGUCCGGAUUUAUUGGGCGUAAAGCGAGCGCAGGCGGUUUCUUAAGUCUGAUGUGAAAGCCCCCGGCUCAACCGGGGAGGGUCAUUGGAAACUGGGAGACUUGAGUGCAGAAGAGGAGAGUGGAAUUCCAUGUGUAGCGGUGAAAUGCGUAGAUAUAUGGAGGAACACCAGUGGCGAAGGCGGCUCUCUGGUCUGUAACUGACGCUGAGGCUCGAAAGCGUGGGGAGCAAACAGG
rnacentral:rRNA from 1 species